GGAACAGCUGUUAGCUGCAAGGGACUGGACCACUGAAGUUAGAUGAUUGAUCUUCAUGUCCAGUUCGUUGAGUGCCUCCAGAAUCGCCCUCUCAACAGCUGAAACACAAAUUCUGUCCUGAUGUUUGGCUGUGGUCCCUCCAUCAUCCACUCUUCAGCAACUGGUCUUUGUAUGGAGGCCACCAUGAUCUAUACAGAUCUAGUUGUCUCGUCUCCCACAAACUCCAUUUUCAGGGUCCAGUGACAACUAGGGGGUGUCGACAAACUUCCAAUGAGGACCAUUAGACCACUUGAGAAGAAUUACCUCAUAUGACCAAGCUCUAAUGUUGUAAAGCAGAUUUUGAGCUGAUCUCCUUCAUUCUGCCGCCAGCUCACCACAACACCCUGGGUGCACCAGCUGUGGAAAUUACGGGCCAAACUUUGGACACACUAGGAAAUGGUUCAUCCUAAGAUGCACAGAUCUACCUAUAGCCCACCAUCAUUCCCACACUCAUCUUGCAACAAUGUUUCAUUAAGUGCAGUCUAUAACCAGUGUCUGCCAUGCACGGUCUGCACCUUGUUUUAUUGCAGAUGUUAUGGAUUAUUCUAUUAGAGCUCUUUAUAUUCUUUAUUUGAGACUGUUAUUAUGUAGAGACUGUUAUGUUGUGAAUAAAGUCAACUCAACGCGAUGCUUUCAGCAGUUAAUACAUUAAAAUGUGUCCUUAAUGUUUUAUUAUUUAAAGAUAUUAUUUAAAGUUUAUUACAGGCUCAGUGAAUUUUCUUUCACUAGAAUAAGAGUACU